UGCAUGAAGAUAGGUGACUCAAAGACAUCU
rnacentral:piRNA from 1 species